rnacentral:rRNA from 1 species
UACGUAGGUGGCAAGCGUUGUCCGGAAUUAUUGGGCGUAAAGCGCGCGCAGGCGGUCCUUUAAGUCUGAUGUGAAAGCCCACGGCUCAACCGUGGAGGGUCAUUGGAAACUGGGGGGACUUGAGUGCAGGAGAGAAGAGUGGAAUUCCACGUGUAGCGGUGAAAUGCGUAGAGAUGUGGAGGAACACCAGUGGCGAAGGCGACUCUUUGGCCUGUAACU